GAACCCAUUCGCAACCUUUUUGCUGCCCUUUUCCUUGCCAGCAUUGGGAUGCUGAUUCAUGUUCAGUUUCUCUGGAAUCAUGUUGAUAUAUUUCUCGCGUCUGUCAUCUUAGUUAUCAUCAUAAAAACAAUUAUUAUAACCAUGGUUGUCAAGGGAUUUGGAUACAACAACAAAACAUCAUUCCUAGUUGGAAUAUCUCUAGCACAGAUAGGCGAAUUUGCUUUUGUUCUUUUAAGUCGUGCCUCUAAUCUCCAUCUAGUCGAGGGGAAAUUAUAUCUGCUGCUGCUUGGAACCACUGCACUUAGUCUGGU